rnacentral:lncRNA from 1 species
AAAAACUAAAGAGACUCUGUUUUUCCAAAACACAACUCAUCGAUUUGCCCUAGUCUCCACAAUAACGCACGCCUCUCUACCUCCCUCUAUCCAUCUCUCAAAAUUUGUAUUUUCUCAAAGCAAAGGUUACAAAUUUGUUGAUUUGCGAAUCGCAGGUCUACCCUAGUUUUCAACCUCGCUCGUUUGCGAAUCUCAGGUAUACCUCUUUUCUGAGUUGCUCUUUUUCAUAAUUUCAUUCUGAGUUUUUCUUCUCCUUGAUAAAUAACAAAAUACUGAAACUAUCAGGUUUAUUCACCCCCAUCAGCUGUUGGGACAAACUUAGACAUGAUCACAAAUAAGAAUCUUGCCGUGUAGGAAACUUUUGAAUUUGACUUAGCUUCACCUAUAUGCGAAUUAUAGCAUGGAUUACAUUAGCACCUACAGAGAAUUAAAUCGAACAAAAAAUUGGCAUUGUCAAACAAGAAUACCGUUUUAGCAACUGGGCCUAAGAAAGCUUCCGUGGAAAUAUUGAUAAUAUGACAUUGAAUAUCCUCUCGAAUUCCACCUACUCGAUAUCCUAAUCGCCGAAGAAGCUAGGUAGAUGACAAAAGAUGCAAUAUACAUGUGUAGGUCAAUUAAUCAAUGGAAAAAUUAUUAGGUUGGGAUUCCUUAUUUGAUAAUUUUAUUUCUCUAAAGUUUAUUCAUGUAUGUCGUGUAUUGUGUCUCUUAAGAAUUAUGUGUCUGGUGAAUUAGUUAAUUCAUAUUUGUAGCGUAUUUUUUGAAAAAGCUAAUUAUUUCUUGAAUGGCUAAAAGUUCACCAGCUGCUUGUAAAUUUUACUUCCUCAUCUUAGUUAGCUAAAAGUUUAACGUUAAGUUCUGUUUGGAAGCUGAUAUGUUCAAUGAUGUUAUUUGUAUUUGUGGAUAGUUCUCAAAAAAGGGAACAACUGUAUAUCAAUAAUUGUCUAUCUUUGCUGCAUAUGUUGAAGUAUUCAAGAAUGAGAUUCAUAAAUUUGCAAACUUUUGAGCAAAUAUAUUUACUGAGUAAUGGUGUGUAUUCCAUGGUAGUGGAAGAGCGAUGCUGAAAUAUAUAUGAGUGCCUAAUUAUUAGCUCUCCACUGUCGUAGUUCCAAUUCUUACCUUCUAGCUUUUGCUUGAUAUGUGUUUGUGAUAAUGAAAUUUGUUGAAUCCAUUGCAAUCAAAUCAGCUGUGAAUUGGCAAGAGAAGUGGUAUUUUGGAUCGAGUUCCUUCAAUUUGAUGUCAGAGUCUUCAUAUUUUGUCUUUUCCGAAGCAUGAGCAAUAGUUCAGAGAAAGGGACAAGAACGUAGACA